rnacentral:misc_RNA from 1 species
UCAAUAUUGUAAACGCGUGCCGGGGCGCAAGCCUGCGGUGCGACUUAUAAUUACCGUGUUUAACAUACCUUUGUUGCUUUGGCGGGGCGCCUUUUGGCCAGCGGCUCCGGCUGCUGCGUACCCGUCAGAGGACCACAACUCUUGUCUUUAGUGAUGUCUGAGUACUAUAUAAUAGUUA